rnacentral:rRNA from 1 species
AGCGAACGCUGGCGGCGUGCUUAACACAUGCAAGUCGAACGGGGUGUAGCAAUACAUCUAGUGGCGGACGGGUGAGGAAUACAUAGGAAUUUGCCCUUAAGUGGGGGAUAGUCCGGGGAAACUCGGUUUAAUACCGCAUGAUCUCGUGAGAGCAAAGCAGGGGACCGCAAGGCCUUGCGCUUUUGGAGAAGCCUAUGUCGGAUUAGCUAGUUGGUAGGGUAAUGGCCUACCAAGGCGACGAUCCGUAGCUGGUUUGAGAGAACGACCAGCCACACUGGGACUGAGACACGGCCCAGACUCCUACGGGAGGCAGCAGUGGGGAAUUUUGGACAAUGGGGGCAACCCUGAUCCAGCCAUGCCGCGUGUGUGAAGAAGGCC